rnacentral:rRNA from 1 species
AUGAAAAUCUUGGCCUGGAACUGCCAGGGACUGGGGCGGCCCCGGACAGUUCAGGAGCUGACACGCCUUGUGCAUGUUCACUGCCCGGAGAUUGUGUUCCUCUCCGAAACUAGGCAAGGUAAGCAUUUUGUGGAGGGGGUGGGGCGUAGAAUUGGCUUCAGGCACAGUAUCAUUGUCUCUAUGAAAGGGAAGGGGGGAGGCCUAGCCCUCUUCUGGGAUGAUUCC